AACAUCUGCUUGCUUCCAUCCCCUCAGAGUGCCUCAGUGCUGUUGCUCUAAGAUCGCGAAUGCUCAUGUGCCAAUUGCAUCUCAACAAGUAAACCGUCAGUGGUUGUACUGUAUUUUGACUAACGUUUUUAUUAAAAAGCAUGGAUUUUAGCAAACGAAGAAAGACAUUCAACAACAGAAAACAAACAUCGGUACACGGUCAGUCCUUUGAUCUGUCUGCGUGCCAUCAUCAGUCCCACCCUGCUGUACAUACAGAUGAAGUCCAUGUAGAGUUUGGCGUCCUCCACAUCCAACAGUUGGACCUCCUCAGGCUUCUGGAACUUCUACCGAGAGACCGGUAGAGGGGCUAAUGGUCUGUACACAUUGCAAGCGACAAGUCAUUUGAUCGGUGCUCAUGGACAAAAAGGAGAUCAGGCUGUUCAUGCGAGCAGAUGGAAAAAUAAGUCACUACGUUGUUUAGGUUGUGCUCGGGUAGGAAAAAAUAAAUAAAACCCCUCUUGCUGUA